UAAUUUUCCUGAGUGGAAACUAGCCUUUACGAUGUAGGACGGCAACGCGACGACAACGGCCAGAAUAAAAUCAUUCAAAUAAACGAUUGUAAAGAAAGUUUGUAGACUAUUGUUGAUCGUAUCAAUUUAACACUGUUUGGUUAGCUUGAAAUAGUGGCUUUAUUGUUGAGAAAGUUCUACUGUAGUACGGAGCUAAUUUGCUGAGUAUAUCAUUUCUCGCGCGUCUUGAAAUGCAGGCGUUUUAUCCAAGACGUAAAAGUCUGUAGUUUCCCGGCGUUGUAAACAAACCGUGCACGACGUCUCAAACUCCCGUGGGAUAUUAGUUAUUCAUUUUUGUUCUUAAAUAUUAUGAAUCUCAUUGUGUGAAUAACCGUCGACGUCACGUUGCCGUCUCACAUCGUAAGGUCCCUAAAGGUCCCUAAUAAAAUAACGGAGCAGUUUGAACGACUACGAACAGCGUGCUGAGAACGUUCAAGCCGUCAAGGCAAUAUAUAGGUAUCUGAAAAACGUUCUGCUUCGAGGGAUUGUGGGUUGUUUGUAAAGAAAGAGAAGUACUUUUUCAGUAACAGGCAAAUAAAAUUUAGUAGUGUGUGCUUUAUUUGCAUGCGUACAAAAAUAUGAAUAAUACAAAGACCGCGCAAAGCCUGCGAAUCACGUUGAAAGAAUGCAUUCUAAUGUGGUAUUUUUAUAUAAAAUUUAGAAUUUUAAACAAUGCUAGCUGCUGGCCGUACUGACUAGAAACUAAAAAUCAACCUUGGCUGAACAUCAACCUUGGCUACAAAUGAGGCGGCAUGAUGGGUAUGUAGGGAAUGUAUGAGGGUAUGUAAUGUACAGGCAUAUAAAUAGAGGAUAUUACACGUUGGCUUGAAGAUAUGACUUUUUAUCUUCGAGUGGUGAAAACAAUAUUUUACUAACGAGCGCAGCGAGUGAGUAAAAUAUUGUGUUUAACACGAGAAGAUAAAAGUCAUAUCUUCAAGCCAACGUGUAAUGUUCUGUUUAUUAUAUAGUCCGAAGCAAAAAAUUGUAUAAAUACUAAAAGUCACGUGAUCGAUAUCCUCACUAGUGAAGAUAUGGACAAUAUGUCACUGCGUAUUUACCAGUAUCUCACUCUCUACUAUAUAAUAAUUAUGGCUGCAUAUAUAGUGCUAUAAUAAGACAAUUAAGACGCAAACGAAACGGGGCUCUAAAAACGUUUUACUUCGUGUGAUAGUCGAAUGAACAAUGACAAAUCUCUUUUUAUUUUUGGGUUUUUAAUUAAGGUACAUAUCAGUAUUUCUCAGUGUUACAUGAUGGCUAUUAUCAUGUAAUUUUACAUAUAUUAAAUAUUAUUAUACUAUUAUUAUAUUAUACUAUAGCUCAUACUUAAUUAUAGCCUGCGAACAGGCUCUCAAGCUAAAUUGAGAACUUAAUUAUUAUAUUAUAGCUUACAUGCAUGAGUAAGCAAAUAGUUCUAAAGAUUAGAGUAAACGCCUUGUCCACAAAUAACGUCAACGGACAUGAGUGUGGUUAGAGAACUUUGCACCAACGACCGCAGCAUUGCGUAUGGGAAAUGCGUCAAGAUGGCAAAGUCAUCCUCUGACCAACACUAUAAAAGUAGCUUCACGCAUCAGUGAACAUGAUUGAUUACGUUAUGAUUAUUAGCAUUAUGAUUUAAAAUAGAGAAAUGAUGAAGGAUUAAGGAAGAGUAUUCCAUGGCUGAAGACGAAGCUGCUUUAACGCGCUGAUUAACGUAGAAAGAAAACAACAUGGAUAUCUUCUGGACUAUGGUCACUAUGAUUUAUUACGAAUAUGAACUGUUGCUAUAUCAAGUUGCAAUGCUCACUCGGACAGAUAAGUUUUAACAUAUAGCCUAAUUAACCAUAUUGUCAUGUAGCUUAAUUAAUAUAACUAAUGCUUUCUACUAUAAUAUAUAUAUAUCAAAAGGUAAAAUGCUUAGAUUUACAUUCUUUUGUUGCGAGUAAAUAGGACCAGAGCGGCCAGACAAAAUAGUAGGGACCGGCUCGUAACAUCAGAUAUAUCUUUGAAAAAUCCCUUUGAAAAAUAGUAUCAGUUCCAAGUUCCGGUUCCUGUGUUGUUGUAUCAUUGCAUUGAGACACAGGUCAGUAGGUCACAUUUAUAAACACACUCAUUUCAAGGUUUGUUUCGCUAGGAAAUCAUGUGAAAUGCCUUUCCUCCUACAGACGUUAAAAUGUGUCAAGUUGUGAGGAACUUUUUCGCCUUCCAGUCUUCAAUGCACGCACUAACUGCUAAGGGACUGGUCAUAAAGUAAAAGGGGGGUGGGCUGGGAGAAUCAUAUAUUUGGUGUCUGCACUUUUGGUAGCCCACCCCUUAAUAGCUGCACGAAAAUUUGUAGCCCACCCUUAAAUUGGUGCUGAAAAAUUAUGACCCACCCCUUUUCCAAUUUUUUCCGGAAAAAAUGUUUUUCGGACAUCCCCCAACCCCCAACCCCCCGUCGACAACUUUUUUAGGUAAAAAAUUUUUCCGGACGAGUACGUUGCAAUUGCUUUCCAAGGACUUUAUCUUAAUUUUUCAUACCAAAUUUCGGUACUUAGCCCAAAAAAACAGAUAACUUGUUUUAUGCGCGGAAAUUUUUAACACAAAAAAAUGACUGGGGCCCAAUCUUCUGCAUAUUUUUACAUGGCCCACCCUUAUAAUUGCGCUUAACUUUCGAUGACCCACCCCUUCAACCGUGCUCAAAAAUAGUGACCCACCCCCCUAUUUUUCCCAGCCCAUCCCCCUUUUACUUUAUGACCGGUCCCUAAAUAUGGUUUUAUAGUCAGGCAGAUAGAAGGAAAAAACUCACCAUAUCGAGGGGCAAUUCCAUUUUGCCUUCAUAUUGUGCUCUGAUGGCUAGUAAGUACGUUUCUGAAUGUUGGCCGCGUUAAAAUUUCUUGUGGGCUCCUGCCGACACGUUUUUCUUCGAAUGUUGUUUCUUCGAAUACAUUUCUAACACAAAUGACUUACAUCAUUCGAAAGGUCGCAAAAAACUACAUAUAACACAUUUAAACGGUUAGCCGGGACGGGGUUUUUCAAGUUCUUCUUGAGUUAUGAGCUGUUAAAAGCGUAUUUUCAGACUAGUACCCAGCAAUUUUGCGAGAUUUUGGC
rnacentral:lncRNA from 1 species